rnacentral:rRNA from 1 species
CCUACGGGAGGCAGCAGUGAGGAAUAUUGGUCAAUGGCCGGAAGGCUGAACCAGCCAUGUCGCGUGAAGGGCAGGGCCCUAUGGGCGUUAAACUUCUUUUGUGCGGGAGCAAGAAUGGUCACGUGGGGCCAGACGAGAGUACCGUACGAAUAAGCAGCGGCGAACUCCGUGCCAGCAGCUGCGGUAAUCCGGGGGAUGCAAGCGUUAUCCGGCUUUAUUGGGUUUAAAGGGGGCGGAGGCUGUGAGGUAAGUCAGCGGUGAAAUGCCCCCGCUCAACUGGGUGAAGUGCCAUUGAUACUGCCUUGCUGGACUGCGGAUGCCGUGGGCGGACUGUGUUGUGUAGCGGU